GUUUUUUUAGAAAUAAAUUUAAUUUACAAAUUUUUAAUUUUUUGUUUAUUUAUUAAAUUAAAAAAUUUAUUAAUUUGAAUAUUUUAAGGGAUAAGCUUUAAAAUAAAUUAUUAAAAAUUAAUAAUUUAUUUAUAUAAAAUAUAUCUUUAGAAUUAGCAAUUAUUUAUGAGGUUGUUAUAAAUUAUUCUAUAAUUUGUAUUAUUUAUUAAUAUUUUAAUUUUUUAUAAAAAUUUUUUCAUGAAUAUUUUAUGAGAAGUAAUAAUGAUAGAAUUAGUAUAUUUUAUUGUAUUAGUAAUUUUAUGUGACAAGUUUAUAUAAAGAACUCGGCAAAUAUUUAUACUCGCCUGUUUAACAAAAACAUGUCUUUUUGAGUUAUUUUUAAAGUCUGACCUGCCCGGUGAAUUAUUUAACGGCCGCAGUAUUUUAACUGUGCAAAGGUAGCAUAAUCAUUAGUCUUUUAAUUGAAGGCUGGAAUGAACGGUUGGACGAGGUAUAAACUGUUUCAUAUAAAUUUAUAAUAGAAUUUUAUAUUUUAGUAAAAAAGCUAAAAUUUUAUUAAAAGACGAGAAGACCCUAUAAAUCUUUAUAUUUAUUAUUUUAUAAAUUUUUUGGAUUUAUUUUAUUUUUAUGAUAAUGAAUAUUUUAUUGGGGUGAUAUUAAAAUUUAAUAAACUUUUAAUUAUUAAAUUUCAUUAAUUUAUGAAUUAUUGAUCCGUUAAUAACGAUUAUGAGAUUAAGUUACUUUAGGGAUAACAGCGUAAUUUUUUUGGAGAGUUCUUAUUGAUAAAAAAGUUUGCGACCUCGAUGUUGGAUUAAGAUAUAUUUUUAGGUGUAGUAGCUUAUAGGUU
rnacentral:rRNA from 1 species